rnacentral:rRNA from 1 species
UACGGGGGGGGCAAGCGUUGUUCGGAAUUACUGGGCGUAAAGGGUUUGUAGGUGGCUUGUUAAGUCAGACGUGAAAUCCCUCAGCUUAACUGGGGAACUGCGUCUGAGACUGGUGAGCUUGAGUGCAGGAGAGGAACGCGGAAUUCCAGGUGUAGCGGUGAAAUGCGCAGAUAUCAGGAGGAACACCCGUAGCGAAGGCGGCACUCUGGGCCGAUACUGACACUGAGGAGCGAAAGCGUGGGGAGCGAACAGG